GGCCAAGUCAGACACGGGGACCAUGAC
rnacentral:piRNA from 1 species